GAAGCGGCCACACCCGGCUGGCAACAUCCAGCUCCACUCCGAACCUGGAAAUUAAGCAGUCGCGGGCCACAUCAGUACUGGGCUGGGCGACUUCCCGGGAACGUGCGGUGCUUGCUUCUUUUUCCUUUUUGCGCGGUGCAGGGCUAUUGCCCUGCACCAAUACUACACUCUACACCUAUGUUUGUCCCUGCUAAAACUCUUAUAUGUUGAGAUAUUUUAUAAUUUUAUAUUUUUUAUUAAAAAAUGAAAAUUUUUCAUAAGCGAGACUCCCUCCGCUGGAGAAAUUGAGAGUGGUAAUGGUAGUGUGAAUAGUGUGUGACGAACAAUCCUUUC
rnacentral:rRNA from 1 species